GAUGAACGCUAGCGAUAGGCUUAACACAUGCAAGUCGAGGGGCAGCACAAGGUAGCUUGCUAUCUGGGUGGCGACCGGCGCACGGGUGCGUAACGCGUAUGCAACUUGCCCUAUACAGGAGGAUAACCCGUCGAAAGACGGACUAAUACUGCGUAUGCUCACAACUUGGCAUCAAGUGGUGAGGAAAGAAAUUCGGUAUAGGAUAGGCAUGCGUCCCAUUAGCUUGUUGGUGAGGUAACGGCUCACCAAGGCAACGAUGGGUAGGGGAACUGAGAGGUUUAUCCCCGACACGGGUACUGAGACACGGACCAGACUCAUACGGGAGGCAGCAGUGAGGAAUAUUGGUCAAUGGGCGCGAGCCUGAACCAGCCAAGUCGCGUGAAGGAUGACUGUGUUAUGGAUUGUAAACUUCUUUUAUACGGGAAUAACAAGAGUCACGUGUGACUCCCUGCAUGUACCGGAUGAAUAAGCAUCGGCUAACUCCGUG
rnacentral:rRNA from 1 species